AGCUCCAAUAGCGUAUAUUAAAGUUGCUGCAGUUAAAAAGCUCGUAGUUGGAUUUGUGGGAUGGCCGUCCGGCGGGGGGCCAUUUAUUGGUCCCGUUUGUCCUGGUUUUCGGCCUUCCCUUUCUCGGGUCUAGCGUAUCGGCUGGCAUUAGGUUGUCGGCCGCUUCGCGCCCGUCGUUUACUGUGAAAAAAUUAGAGUGUUCAAAGCAGGCUUAGGCCGUUGGAUACAUUAGCAUGGAAUAAUGAGAUAGGGCCACCGCGGUCUAUUUUGUUGGUUUGCACGUUGUGGUAAUGAUUAACAGGAACGGUUGGGGGUAUUCGUAUUCAAUUGUCAGAGGUGAAAUUCUUGGAUUUGUGGAAGACGAACUACUGCGAAAGCAUUUACCAAGGAUGUUUUCAUU
rnacentral:rRNA from 1 species